rnacentral:rRNA from 1 species
UACAGAGGUGCCGAGCGUUAGGCGGAAUCACUGGGCUUAAAGCGUGUGUAGGCGGAUGGGUAAGUACCUUGUGAAAUCCCACGGCUCAACCGUGGAACUGCUCGGUAUACUGCUCGUCUUGAGCCAACUAGGGGCGACCGGAACAAACGGUGGAGCGGUGAAAUGCGUAGAUAUCGUUUGGAACGCCGAUGGUGAAAACAGGUCGCUGGGGUUGUGCUGACGCUGAGACACGAAAGCCAGGGGAGCGAACGGG